UCCCUGGUGGUCCAGUGGCUAAGACUCUGCAUUCCCAAUGUGGGGGUCUGGGUUCAAUCCCUGGUCAGGGAA
rfam:TPA: Bos taurus chromosome 18, whole genome shotgun sequence.